GCAUGUGCUUUGUACAACAAUUGGUGGCCAAUGUUAACAGUAUUAAUGUAUGUUCUUCUACCUAUGCCUCUGAUUUUCUUUGCUGGGUAGCAAGUAGGUAAAGCUUUCUCCUUCAAAACUGAUCGUUUUAUUUUUUCUAGAAUCAUAAAAGUUAUGGCAUCAUUCUCAGUUUAAUGAAAAUUGUCUAUAUGACUAUAUAUAUAUGUAUUUCGACCUCAUACUUGCGUUUUUUACAAUCACACCAAGCAACAGUUGGGUUGAUGCGACAAAGUUCUUGACUGGAGCUUCAGCUGUUGGCAGUAUUGCUAUACCAAUUAUUUUAAAGCAUGCUGGCGUAAUUGGUUGGGGAGCCAUGGCAAUGGAACUCUCAUCGUUUUUCAUACUUGUCAUGGCCAUUUUGUGUUACCUUGGAACAAGCAAUGACGAUGGAUACAGUACAUUUUGAAGUACAAAACCUUUAUUUGGGAUAAGGAGGUUUCUUUUGCCAGCGAGUGUUGUUUGCUUGAGCAUGUGCUCCUGUGAUUGUGAUUUGUAUAUGCAUGUGUUUACAUUCAUAGAUUGUUCGUUAUCAAAAGAUGUUGAAGUGGUUAUCCACUAGAUAACAGCGAUGAAUGUACUUUGAUUGGAUACUCGAAAUUUGUUUAUAAAAUGAAGCCUUUUGACAUUA